GGGUAACCUGCCCUAUGCUGGAUAAUAACCUCGGGAAACUGAGAAUAAUGAUCCAUAGUUCACUACGCCUGGAACGGUGAGUGGAUGAAAGCUCCGGCGGCAUAGGAUGGGCCUGCGGCGUAUCAGGUUGUAGGGGGUGUAACGUACCCUCUAGCCCUCUACGCGUACGGGUGUUGGGAGACAUAGCCCGGAGAUGGAUUCUGAGACACGAAUCCAGACCCUACGGGGUGCAGCAGGCGCGAAAACUUGGCAAUGCGAGAAAUCGUGACCAAGGAACUCCAAGUGCAUCGGGUAAGACCGGUGCUUUUCUUGACUCUAAAUAGGUCUUGGAAUAAGGGGUGGGUAAGGACGGUGCCAGCCGCCGCGGUAAUACCGGCGCCUCAAGUGGUAGUCGCUUUUAUUGGGCCUAAAACGUCCGUAGCCGGUCUGAUACAUUCGUGGGUAAAUCAACCAGCUCAACUGGUUGAAUUCUGCGAGGACGGUCAGACUUGGGACCGGGAGAGGUGUGGGGUACGCUCAGGGUAGGGGUAAAAUCCUGUCAUCCUGAGCGGACCACCUGUUGCGAAGGCGCCACACUAGAACGGAUCCGACGGUCAGGGACGAAGCCUAGGGGCACGAACCGGAUUAGAUACCCGGGUAGUCCUAGGUGUAAACGCUGUGGACUUGAUGUUGGGGGUGCUCCGAGCACUCUCAGUGUCGAAGCGAAGGUGAUAAGUCCACUGCCUGGGAAGUACGGUCGCAAGGCUGAAACUU
rnacentral:rRNA from 1 species